ACUUCGAAGGAAACUGGGGCCAAUACCGGAUAGGAGCUCCUGCUGCAUGGUGGGGGUUGGAAAGUUUCGGCGGUUGGGGAUGGACUCGCGGCUUAUCAGCUUGUUGGUGGGGUAGUGGCUUACCAAGGCUUUGACGGGUAGCCGGCCUGAGAGGGUGACCGGCCACAUUGGGACUGAGAUACGGCCCAG
rnacentral:rRNA from 1 species